rnacentral:rRNA from 2 species
AUUCACCGUAAGAAGUUGAGUGGCGGACGGGUGAGUAACACGUGGGUAACCUGCCUAAAAGAAGGGGAUAACACUUGGAAACAGGUGCUAAUACCGUAUAUCUCUAAGGAUCGCAUGAUCCUUAGAUGAAAGAUGGUUCUGCUAUCGCUUUUAGAUGGACCCGCGGCGUAUUAACUAGUUGGUGGGGUAACGGCCUACCAAGGUGAUGAUACGUAGCCAAACUGAGAGGUUGAUCGGCCACAUUGGGACUGAGACACGGCCCAAACUCCUACGGGAGGCAGCAGUAGGGAAUCUUCCACAAUGGACGCAAGUCUGAUGGAGCAACGCCGCGUGAGUGAAGAAGGUCUUCGGAUCGUAAAACUCUGUUGUUAGAGAAGAACACGAGUGAGAGUAACUGUUCAUUCGAUGACGGUAUCUAACCAGCAAGUCACGGCUAACUACGUGCCAGCAGCCGCGGUAAUACGUAGGUGGCAAGCGUUGUCCGGAUUUAUUGGGCGUAAAGGGAACGCAGGCGGUCUUUUAAGUCUGAUGUGAAAGCCUUCGGCUUAACCGGAGUAGUGCAUUGGAAACUGGAAGACUUGAGUGCAGAAGAGGAGAGUGGAACUCCAUGUGUAGCGGUGAAAUGCGUAGAUAUAUGGAAGAACACCAGUGGCGAAAGCGGCUCUCUGGUCUGUAACUGACGCUGAGGUUCGAAAGCGUGGGUAGCAAACAGGAUUAGAUACCCUGGUAGUCCACGCCGUAAACGAUGAAUGCUAGGUGUUGGAGGGUUUCCGCCCUUCAGUGCCGCAGCUAACGCAAUAAGCAUUCCGCCUGGGGAGUACGACCGCAAGGUUGAAACUCAAAGGAAUUGACGGGGGCCCGCACAAGCGGUGGAGCAUGUGGUUUAAUUCGAAGCAACGCGAAGAACCUUACCAGGUCUUGACAUCCUUUGACCACCUAAGAGAUUAGGCUUUCCCUUCGGGGACAAAGUGACAGGUGGUGCAUGGCCGUCGUCAGCUCGUGUCGUGAGAUGUUGGGUUAAGUCCCGCAACGAGCGCAACCCUUGUUGUCAGUUGCCAGCAUUAAGUUGGGCACUCUGGCGAGACUGCCGGUGACAAACCGGAGGAAGGUGGGGACGACGUCAAGUCAUCAUGCCCCUUAUGACCUGGGCUACACACGUGCUACAAUGGACGGUACAACGAGUCGCGAGACCGCGAGGUUUAGCUAAUCUCUUAAAGCCGUUCUCAGUUCGGAUUGUAGGCUGCAACUCGCCUACAUGAAGUCGGAAUCGCUAGUAAUCGCGAAUCAGCAUGUCGCGGUGAAUACGUUCCCGGGCCUUGUACACACCGCCCGUCACACCAUGAGAGUUUGUAACACCCA